rnacentral:lncRNA from 1 species
GUGAUUUCUGUAGUCUGAGUCUAUUUUUAGCAUUAUCUUUGCCUAAGAGCAAAUUUGAGAGUAUGUAGAAGUGGCAAGGCACUGGUGAGGAGUGGGGUGUGGGGUGGCACACAGAUGGAGCAUGAACCAAGCAGGGAAAGUUGUGCACAGCAACGGCACUGACCCAGGAAUCUCUUGCUGAGCACAGAGAGGGCAUCUUGUCUGCAUGGGAGUUGUAUGUGGCUGCCGAGCAACCAAAGCAAGGAGAGGAAGGAGAUCUUACAGUUCUCAAAGAGCAAGCAAAUGUCCUCUUUCCAAGCCUCACAUUUAGACUGACUGCUGGCAGAUAGAAAACUUCUUGAAGGAGGCCUCGGCUUUGAAGGUUUGUUGUAAGACCGUAACACCUAACUCAGGGGUGGAAGUGGGUGCUCUGCCUUAGCCUUCCCAUGGUUACACCAAGAGGAUCUGGACGACCACUGCUCCUGAGAGGCCAAUGUUUCUACUUCGUGGCUUUAACCAGUGUGCUCUGGCUGCCAUCUGCACAGACCCGAGAGUCUUUUCUUCCACAGAGGUUUCACCUUCAACUGCCUACAGCAUUUGGUCUCUUCUGGAGGAAUUUAAGAGGUAUCUCUUAUUUUUAUAAUAAUAAUAUUAUUACAGGGAAUUCCCCUCACGGUGCAGUGGAAAUGAAUCUGACUAGGAACCAUGAGGUUACGGGUUUGAUCCCUGGCCUCGCUCAGUGGGUUAAGGAUCUGGUGUUGCCGUGAGCUGUGGUGUGGGUCACAGACGUGGCUCAGACCUGGCAUUGCUGGGACUCUGGUGUAGGUUGGAGGCUACAGCUCCAAUUAGACCCCUAGCCUGGGAACCUCCAUAUGCCAUGGAUGUGGCCCUGAAAAGACAAAAAGACAAAAUAAUAAUAAUAGUAAUAAUAAUAUUACACUAUAGUCACUUAUUCAAUGUAGAAGAAAAAGAGUAUUAUUAUACAUGAAAGCCUUUGGAAAUCAGCAACAGCAAGGCUCUGAAGAUCUGAACAGUAAGAAAUGACUCUUAGAAUCCUUUUUCUAACCCACCACUUAGUUGGAUCCCCAUGUACUUUAUUAGUCAACCAUUUGUAACAAUCUGUUCAACAUCUACCUUCCCCGUUAAACUCUAAGCUCUAUGAUGGCAGAGCUUUUAUCUGUCUUAUUCAUUACUGUAUUCCCAGGACCUAGCGGAAUACUAGGAACACAGUGGAUGAUCAGUAUAUGUUUGUUGAUCAAUG